CCUACGGGUGGCUGCAGUGGGGAAUUUUGGACAAUGGGGGCAACCCUGAUCCAGCCAUGCCGCGUGAGUGAAGAAGGCCUUCGGGUUGUAAAGCUCUUUCGGCCGGGAAGAAAUCGCUCAAGCUAAUACCUUGGGUGGAUGACGGUACCGGAAGAAGAAGCACCGGCUAACUACGUGCCAGCAGCCGCGGUAGUACGUAGGGUGCUAGCGUUAAUCGGGCGUACGCGGCGGAAGGCGUGCGCAGGCGGCGAAAUCCCCGGGCUUAACCUGGGAACUGCGUUUGUGACUGUGGUGCUCGAGUGCGGCAGAGGGGGGUGGAAUUCCACGUGUAGCAGUGAAAUGCGUAGAGAUGUGGAGGAACACCGAUGGCGAAGGCAGCCCCCUGGGUCGACACUGACGCUCAUGCACGAAAGCGUGGGGAGCAAACAGGAUUAGAUACCCCUGUAGUC
rnacentral:rRNA from 1 species